rnacentral:rRNA from 1 species
CCUACGGUGCGCUGCAGUGGGGAAUAUUGGACAAUGGGCGAAAGCCUGAUCCAGCCAUGCCGCGUGUGUGAAGAAGGCCUUCGGGUUGUAAAGCACUUUCAGUGGGGAAGAAAGCCUUGGGGCUAAUACCCUCGAGGAAGGACAUCACCCACAGAAGAAGCACCGGCUAACUCCGUGCCAGCAGCCGCGGUAAUACGGAGGGUGCGAGCGUUAAUCGGAAUUACUGGGCGUAAAGCGCGCGUAGGCGGUCUGAUAAGCCGGUUGUGAAAGCCCCGGGCUCAACCUGGGAACGGCAUCCGGAACUGUCAGGCUAGAGUGCAGGAGAGGAAGGUAGAAUUCCCGGUGUAGCGGUGAAAUGCGUAGAGAUCGGGAGGAAUACCAGUGGCGAAGGCGGCCUUCUGGACUGACACUGACGCUGAGGUGCGAAAGCGUGGGUAGCAAACAGGAUUAGAUACCCUGUAGUC